rnacentral:lncRNA from 1 species
GAAAACCAAAUUUAACUAGCAAAUAAGCAGCAAACAGUGAGCAGUGACAGUGGGUUGACAACGGACAACACUGAUUUAUGAAGCCAAACACAGGAACAGUUAAAGAAUUAGAGUUGGUAGGGAAGAGAAGAGAGAGGAAGAUUGCCCAGAAAAAGAAAUUAUUGUUUGGAAUCUUUUUGAUAUGUGGGUCGAAAGUUGGUAUAAUCUUUGAAUUCCAUGACAUAGAUUGCUUCACUUCUCUUUCCGCUAAUUACUUUGAAUUAAGAAAUGAUUAAAAUCAAAUAUCAGCAGUCAUGUCUGAUCUUACCAUUAUAAUAUAUAUAUAUAUAUAUAUAUAUAUAUUAUGAGUUAGUUUACA